UACCAGCACCCCGAGUGGUCGGGACGUUUAUUGGGCCUAAAGCAUCCGUAGCCGGUUCUACAAGUCUUCCGUUAAAUCCACCUACUUAACAGAUGGGCUGCGGAAGAUACUAUAGAGCUAGGAGGCGGGAGAGGCAAGCGGUACUCGAUGGGUAGGGGUAAAAUCCGUUGAUCCAUUGAAGACCACCAGUGGCGAAGGCGGCUUGCCAGAACGCGCUCGACGGUGAGGGAUGAAAGCUGGGGGAGCAAACCGG
rnacentral:rRNA from 1 species